CAUACUGUCAUUACAAUUUAACACCUGCCUACAUUGUUGCUGUAUGAACACCACACAACCAACAGAUCAACGGCUGCCUCUACACACCACCAAGCAGUACGUCAACUAUGUCUACAAGAUCAAAAGUCCAGCCUAACCACGAAGCCUCUCACACAUCCUUGUUGU